rnacentral:lncRNA from 1 species
AAUUUGGCAGAAAAGUAAUAAAAAUUAUAGUUGAUUUAUUUAAAAUUUAAUUUAUUUUUCAAAUUUAAUUAGAUUUAAAAUUUUAAAUUCUGUUGAAAAACUUAUGAGGGUUAUAUUUAUGUCAUGCCCUGAGUUCCGUCAUAGGGAUCCGUUUAGGCAAGUACAAUACACCCACCAAACGGACAAUAUUUUUUCUAUCCACACGAAGCAGAAACAUACCUCUAUAUCAUGCCAUGAGUACAAUACAACAUCAGAAUACUG